rnacentral:rRNA from 1 species
AUGAACGCUAGCUACAGGCUUAACACAUGGCAAGUCCAGGGGGAAACGACAUUGGAAGCUUGCUUCGAUGGGCGUCGACCGCGCACGGGUGAGUAACGCGUAUCCAACCUGCCCAUCACUUGGGGAUAACCUUGCGAAAGUAAGACUAAUACCCAAUGAUAUCUCUAGAAGACAUCUGAAAGAGAUUAAAGAUUUAUCGGUGAUGGAUGGGGAUGCGUCUGAUUAGCUUGUUGCGGGGUAACGGCCCACCAAGGCGACGAUCAGUAGGGGUUCUGAGAGGAAGGUCCCCCACAUUGGAACUGAGACACGGUCCAAACUCCUACGGGAGGCAGCAGUGAGGAAUAUUGGUCAAUGGACGAGAGUCUGAACCAGCCAAGUAGCGUGCAGGAUGACGGCCCUAUGGGUUGUAAACUGCUUUUAUAAGGGAAUAAAGUGAGAGUCGUGACUCUUUUUGCAUGUACCUUAUGAAUAAGGACCGGCUAAUUCCGUG